rnacentral:rRNA from 1 species
AGUAGUUGACUCCGUGGCUACGAGGACGAACGCUGGCGGCGUGCUUAACACAUGCAAGUCGAACGGAACGCCUUGGAAAGAGAUUUCGGUCAAUGGAAGGGGUUGUUUAGUGGCGGACGGGUGAGUAACGCGUGAGGAACCUGCCUUUCAGAGGGGGACAACAGUUGGAAACGACUGCUAAUACCGCAUAAUGCAUAGGUAUCGCAUGGUACAGAUGCCAAAGAUUUAUCGCUGAGAGAUGGCCUCGCGUCUGAUUAGCUAGUUGGUAGGGUAACGGCCUACCAAGGCGACGAUCAGUAGCCGGACUGAGAGGUUGGCCGGCCACAUUGGGACUGAGAUACGGCCCAGACUCCUACGGGAGGCAGCAGUGGGGAAUAUUGGGCAAUGGGCGCAAGCCUGACCCAGCAACGCCGCGUGAAGGAAGAAGGCUUUCGGGUUGUAAACUUCUUUUAACAAGGAAGAGCAGAAGACGGUACCUGUUGAAUAAGCCACGGCUAACUACGUG